GCAUUGGUAAUUCAGUGGUAGAAUUCUCGCCUUCCAUGUGCGAAACCUGGGUUUGAUUCCUGGCCGGUGCA
rnacentral:tRNA from 1 species